AGUCUUUGUGAAUAAUUUGUGAAAACCAAAUUCCAAUUUGAUUUUUUUCCCUAAUCUCUCGUGGCACUCUCAUACUCCCUCAUCCUCAUCUCACCCAAAAGACAAACUCAAACCCCAAAACCCAAUUACCCGACCGUGAAACUCUCUCAACCCCCCCCCCCCCCUCCCCCCUCCUCGGCCUGUUGUUACCUCGGGUCAGUCCGCCUCCCUUGUCGUCCUAGAGCUUGCUGAAGCUAGACCGGUAGCUCGUGUUUCUCUCUCCUCUGUCGUCCCCGUGUUGUUGCUAUUGGGUCUUGUUCCGUUCGAUGGGGUAGUGCUCUGCUGCUGCUACUGUACUUGCGGUGUUGCGGCUGCAGUUGGUUGUCGUUGUUGCUGCUUGUUGUUUGUUCUCGUGGUUAUUGCUACCGUUUGUGGGCUGUCGUGGCUGAGUCGACGCACCCUCCUCUCUUUGUUGAUGUGUGGUGUUGCUUUGUUAACUGAAAUCCUUUUUUCUCCUAUUGUUGAUUCAAAAACUCUAUUUUCGAAUUGAGGACGUAUAUUAACAUCGAUUAUAUUCUAUCAUUACAUUUUAUUAAAUUGAUGGUCUAAAUAUUAGUUUAUGGGGUUUGAAGAGAAAAUUAUAUUAGGAAUUUGCAAUUUACUUUUGUUGUAUUAGUUUUGUUGAUAGCUAAUUAGCUUUGAGUGUUGGGUUAGUUUGGAGAUAUAUUUGAAAGUAUGGAUGAUAUGUUGUAUACUUAGGGGGUGUUUGGUUGGGCUAUUUUUAAUGGAAUGGAAUGGAUUGACAUCUAUUUCAUUGUUUGGUUGGACAUAUUUAGGGUAGAGUCUCAUAUCCAAGAGUUUCUAUCUCCACCCCAUCCCCUUAGAAUCCCAAUCUCCCCUCUCUCCUAAGUUUCUAACUCCAUUCCCCUCAAGUUUCAAACCCUAAUUUGUGUGGGAGAGAGAGAGGAGUUAAACCCUAGACAAGGGAUAAGCUAGCCGUCGUCGACCACCCAUUUCCGACCAGCACCGUCGCCGACCACCCUUUUCCGACCAGCACCGUCGCCGAACAACCUUAUUUGCAGAAGGUUUGAUAUUCAGAGCUUGAAAUUAGAAGUGGAGCAAGAUAAAGAUGUCUUGUGGAUUAAGGAUUAUGUUUGUAUUUAGAUAGUUGAUUCGGGAAUAGUUGUCAAAGAUAUUUUCAUCGUAUAUAAUUUUGGGAAUUUUAGUGGAGUUAUUGAUGUAAUUAAGGUUGUUUUUCCGCUGCGAAUCAAUUUAGUCAAGAUCAGAGUUAAAUUGUUGUUUAUGGUUGUUGAGUGUGUUUCGCUAGCAGCUUGGAGGACCGAGCUGUUACAGAAACUCAGGAACAAACAACACAUUACGCAAAACAAUACAAGCUGUGAGUAAAACAUCUACAUGUUCCGUAGCAACAACUUGACAAAAAACACACGAAAAACAACACUGCCGAUAACAACAACACUCAACAAGGUGAGAGAGAGAAGCCGGAAGGGAGCAUGGGUCGUGCGAGCUACAGUAGCAAAUAACUAGGUUGGGAGGAUGAUAUAGGCGAAAGAGAAGGACUGAAAAAGAUCAGGGUUAUAAAUCACAAGAGGGGUAAAGAGAGGUCGUACGAUUUCUGGGAACCGUCGGCAAUCGCGGCGAUUAAGAGAUUGUUGUGGGAUUCGGACCAUGCGACGACGUAGACGCCGUCAGCGGUGUCGAAGAAGGCAAGUUUGGAGAUGCUUAUGGGGGUGAAUUUGAGGAUGUGAAGACCACUAGUGUGUGGAUAUCGAAGUUCUACGAAAUAGCUCGGCUAAGCGGUUUUCAUAUAUUAGGUGAUGAUGACACUGUGUUUUACCAACGACAAGCCUGCGUGGUGGUUGAUGAAUUCCGGCGGAGGCAUCUGACAAGGAGGAAAUGGAGGAUGAAAGGAGGGAGCAACGAUAGUUUAGUAGGUUAUUUAGGUGGCAAAUAUGAUUUUGGAGGAGAAAGAUGAGGGAGAAGGUGAGAGGUUAUGAGACAAUCUAACAGUUUGAUUUGUUUUAUGGCUUGUAUCAAACAGUUAAUAUUUAUGGCUCGUGUCCUUUGUGUUA